UUGAAUUACCAGACCAAAUAUUUCAUGAUUAUUUAAUGAUCUAGGAAGGUAUUUUUGAUUGUUUGAUUAUCUUGUUUAAAAAAAUAAUUAGUGAUUACUUGGAUACCCCCAUGAGGGGCCUCAUUUUCAUGGGGUUUUCCAGAAUCUGUUUGUGUUUAUACUAAGCUACACUAGACUAGUGUAUUUUAUCAUUCAAUUACAAUUACUGUUUUGCUAGAAUAGUAAUUUGGAUAUUUAUUUGAUCACACCAAACGUUCAUUAUAUUACAAUGGACAAAAACCGGUACAGAACAAUCAUCCUUUGAAUUUUUGAGACGAGAAUUGCCAGUAGGCUUGGCUAAUAUAAUGAUGGAGAUGAACCAGUUACCAGAACCUCUAUUAAAUGUACCAUCAGUUACAAUGGUCAGCAACUGGAGAUUUCAAGUUUUAAGACUGCAGUAACCAGCUACUGAAUUAAAAGAGGAACUAUUUUAUUUACUAAUAAGUGGAGAUGUAAUGGAUGAUGACACAGUUAAGCGGCACUAAAAGACCAGGAGAGAGAUUUCAAGUUUUAAGACUGUGCAGUAACCAGCUACUGAAUUAAGAGGAACUAUUUUCAUAACUAAUAAGUGGAGAUGUAAUGGAUGAUGACACAGUUAAGCGGCACUAAAAGACCAGGAGAGAGAUUUCAAGUUUUAAGACUGUGCAGUAACCAGCUACUGAAUUAAGAGGAACUAUUUUCAUCACUAAUGAGUGGAGAAAUAAUGGAUGAUGACACAGUUAAUCAGCACUAAAAGACCAGGAGAGAGAUUUCAAGUUUGGAGACUGUGCAGUAACCAGCUACUGAAUGAAAAGAGGAACUAUUUUCAUAACUAAUAAGUGGAGAUGUAAUGGAUGAUGACACAGUUAAGCGGCACUAAAAGACCAGGAGAGAGAUUUCAAGUUUGGAGAAUGUGCAGUAACCAGCUGCUGAACUAAACAAGGAACUAGGAUCAUAACUGAUAAGUGGAGAUGUAAUGGAUGAUGACACAUUUAAGCGGCAUUAAAAGACCCGGAGAAGUGAUGAUGAGGAAAGAGAUGAAGAGGCAGUACAUGUAGAUGAUAAUGACAAUGGAUUUAAGGAUUGUUGCGCUGAUGAUUUGAGGACACAUUUGACUUUCUUGCUGAGGAAAAAGAAAUGUUAGAAAAAUUGAACAAUCCAAUGCCCAGUCAUGGAGUUCCAAAGGAAGACAGAAAAAAUUUGAAAGAGGCUGCCUUUACACACUUGUUCAUGAAAUUCACUGAAAUUUUCUUUUUGAAGCCAGAAUUAUGUUUUGUAUGAAUCCAGAACAGUAUGAAGCUUUGACAAAAAACAAAGAUCUAAAAGGAAAGACAUCUUACAUCAAGUACUCUUAGUCUUAUGACAUAAUGAAAAAAGAAGACAGAGACCAGUAAAUAUAUAUACUCAUUUGGCUAGGAUGUGUUGAAAAACAUAAUUUUCAUAGUUAUUACCUUGUGUAAGUAUGUAAUUAGAUUGACUUGAACACUCACAAGAAUGUAUUGUUUUGCAGAGUUAAUUAUUAGUUCCUUAUAAUUAAUGACAGAGCAAAAGGUAGUUCACUGACAUAAAACAAAUACUGAAAUAAUGAAUUAGAAAACAAUAUAAGUGUUAAUAUCAUUGUUCAUGAUGUUGAACAUUCAUUUUGUCAAAUUUUUAUUUAAUUUGUUCUGUAUUAUCUUUUGCAUCUUAAUUGUACUAAAAACAUUUUUCGAUUUUUUAAUUGUUUCUGAGCUGUUAUCUUUGAGAACUGGACCCAAACUUCUAAAUAUUGAUUUUUAUAAGACCAUAUAUGGUAUGUCGAUGUUGUUGUCCAAUGACAUUUGGUUUCUGUCUUAACUGUUUAAGAAUUAUGGGCCAAAAAACAAGUAAUUUUCAUGUUUCAGGACAAUAACUUGUGUAUUAAAGGAUCUUUAUGUAAUUGUGUCACAAGGUUGGGAAUAUUUUGGGGGUUAUGGCCCAAACUGUUUAGAAACAAGAGGGCAAAAACAAGGAUUUUCUGGUUUCUGGACAAUAACUUGAGUAUAAGUCUAAGGAUCUUUAUAAAGUUCUACCAGUAGGUUCUAUAUUAAAAAAAGAAGGUAAGGGUUGCUUUUGGAGGUUAUGGUCCUUAAUGUUAAGGAAUUAGGGGCCAAAAACAAUACUUUUCUAAUAUGUGUUGUAUAAAUUGUUAUUUCUUGACCAAUUUCAAUGGGAAUUCAUAGAAAAUGAAAGUGCCAUUGGGCAUCCUUGUACUAUAGACACAUUCUUGUUGUGUAAAGUUUUGUAAUUGUUUACAAAAAUCUACUCCUCUGAAACUACUGAGACAUAUAUAACCUAACUUGACCACAAUCAUCAUUACGGUAUCUAGUUUAUAAAAUGUGUCCGAUGAUUCUGCCUGCCAACCAACUUGGUCGACAUGGCUUAAAAAAGAAUAUAGGGGUAAAAUGCAGUUUUUAUGCCCCAUUUAUAGGCAUUAUGUUUUUUUUGGUCUGUGCGUUCUUUUGUUUGUUCGUUCGUUUAUUCUUUCGUCUGUUCGUUCGUCUGUCCCACUUCAGGUUAAAGAUUUUGGUAGCUUUUGAUGAAGUUGAAGUUCAAUCAACUUGAAACUUAAUACACAUAUACACAUAUUUCCUAUGAUAUGAUCUUUCUAAUUUUAAUGCCAAAAUAGAGUUUUGACCCACAUUUUUACGGUCCACUUAACAUAGUAAAAUGAUAAAGCGAGUGGGGCAUCCGUGUACUAUGGACACAUUCUUGUUUGCUUAUAUCUCUGAAACAAAAGCAAAUGGUUGCAUUAUUUCAUGCAUCAGUUAUAAACAAAAAUAUCAGGGAACGACACUCCUAGUUGUUUUAUAUCUCUGAAACUAAAGUAUUUAGAGCAAAUCUGACAUGGGGUAAUGUUUAUCAGGUUAAGAUCUGUCUGCCAAGAAAUUUUCAGACAAAACAGACAACCUGUUGUUGGGUUGCUGCCCCUGAAUUAGUAAUUUUAAGGAAACUUUGCAGUUUUUAGUUUAUUAUAUUGAAUAUUAUUAUAGAUAGAAAUAAACUGUAAAGAGCAGCAAUGUUCAAAGUUAGGUCUACAAAUAAGUCAUCAUGACCAAAAUUGUCAAUUGAACUCUUAAGGAGUUAUUGCACUUUAUAUUAAAUUUUCUGAAAUUCAUGUGCCAUCAUCAUUUCUGUCAUUGCACGUCUGCCUGGCAAAAUUAAAUUUUAUUUCGUAGCAGAUACGGUAAAUAUUGACCUUACACUGAAACACUUUGUGAUACACAUUCCCUUAACGCUCUCAGCAAUUUAACAACAGAUUUUUACACGUCAAGAGCGUUUCCUUCCGGGGAACUGCAUCAAUUCAACAUGAAAAGGGUAGGGGGAUUACUUCAGUUUUUGGUUAAGAAUGGGUACCGAAGUGCGGCUGGAAUGUUACACACCCCCAUUGAUGUAUAAUGCAUAAAAUUUUUCAGCCCACUCAUAUAGAAAUUUUUAAAGGUGACAAUCUGUAUUUAAUCCAAACUGAAAACUGUAGUAUUUAUUUACUAUUUUUUAAAACAUUAUAAGCUUGAUAGCAAUAAAACAUUUUUCUGCAGAAAUGGAAAGGGGGGGG